rnacentral:lncRNA from 1 species
UAUAUCGUAUAGCUAUUUAUAGUUAUAUUUUUAUAUAUAUAUAUGUAUAUUUAUAUGUAUAUGUGUAGUUGAGUGAGUAAAGAAUUAGAGUUUUUCAGUGGUUUGGCAGGAGUUGCAAGGUUGAGAGAAUGGGGUUUACAAAGGAGAUGACUUGUGUUUUGAAGAGUUUUAAAUAAAUUAUGUUUUGAGUAAUUAAAUAUUGAAUUGUGAACCUACAUGACUUGAGCAUUAUUUUUACACGGUGGGGUUACUAUAUUGUUU